GAUGAACGCUAGCGGCAGGCCUAACACAUGCAAGUCGAGGGGCAGCACAGGUAGCAAUACUGGGUGGCGACCGGCGGAUGGGUGCGUAACGCGUAUGCAAUCUACCAUUGAUUGGGGCAUAGCCCGAAGAAAUUCGGAUUAAUACUCCAUAAUAUUCAUCAAAGGCAUCUUUUAUGAAUUAAAGCUUUUGCGAUCAAUGAUGGGCAUGCGUGACAUUAGUUAGUUGGUGAGGUAACGGCUCACCAAAACGAUGAUGUCUAGGGGUUCUGAGAGGAUUAUCCCCCACACUGGUACUGAGACACGGACCAGACUCCUACGGGAGGCAGCAGUGAGGAAUAUUGGUCAAUGGACGCAAGUCUGAACCAGCCAUGCCGCGUGCAGGAUGACGGCCCUAUGGGUUGUAAACUGCUUUUCCAGGGAGAGAAACUUACGCACGUGUUGCGUGACUGACGGUACCCUGGGAAUAAGCAUCGG
rnacentral:rRNA from 1 species